rnacentral:rRNA from 1 species
AUUGAACGCUGGCGGCAUGCUUUACACAUGCAAGUCGAACGCGAAAGGGGGCAACCCUGAGUAGAGUGGCGCACGGGUGAGUAAUACAUCGGAACGUGUCCUGUAAUGGGGGAUAACGCAGCGAAAGCUGUGCUAAUACCGCAUACGUCCUACGGGAGAAAGCGGGGGAUCGCAAGACCUCGCGUUAUAGGAGCGGCCGAUGCCGGAUUAGCUAGUUGGUGGGGUAAAGGCCUACCAAGGCAACGAUCCGUAGCUGGUCUGAGAGGAUGAUCAGCCACACUGGGACUGAGACACGGCCCAGACUCCUACGGGAGGCAGCAGUGGGGAAUUUUGGACAAUGGGCGCAAGCCUGAUCCAGCCAUGCCGCGUGAGUGAAGAAGGCCUCGGUGUAAGA